rnacentral:rRNA from 1 species
UAAGGAAUAUUGGUCAAUGGACGCAAGUCUGAACCAGCCAUGCCGCGUGAAGGAUGAAGGUCCUCUGGAUUGUAAACUUCUUUUAUCUGGGACGAAAACGGGAUUUUUAUCUCAAUUGACGGUACCAGAGGAAUAAGCACCGGCUAACUCCGUGCCAGCAGCCGCGGUAAUACGGAGAGUGCGAGCGUUAUCCGGAUUUACUGGGUUUAAAGGGUGCGUAGGCGGGAUAAAAAGUCAGUGGUGAAAUCCUACAGCUUAACUGUAGAACUGCCUUUGAUACUUUUAUUCUUGAGUUCGGGAGAGAGAGACGGAAUUCCAGGUGUAGUGGUGAAAUACGUAGAUAUCUGGAAGAACACCAGUUGCGAAGGCGGUCUCUUGGUCCGACACUGACGCUGAGGCGCGAAAGCGUGGGGAGCAAACA